AGUGAACGCUGGCGGUAGGCCUAACACAUGCAAGUCGAACGGCAGCACAGUAAGCGCUUUCUCUUACGGGUGGCUAGUGGCGGACGGGUGAGGAAUACAUCGGAAUCUACUUUUUCGUGGGGGAUAACUUAGGGAAACUUACGCUAAUACCUCAUACUACCUACGGGUGAAAGUAUAUUAUCUUCGGACCUUUCGCGCUUUAAUGAGCCGAUGUCGGAUUAGCUAGUUGGCGGGUUAAAGGCCCACCCAGGAGUCGAUCCGUAGCUGGUCUGAGAGGAUGAGGAGACACACUGGAACAGAGACACGGUACAGACCCAUACGAGAGGGAAGAAGGGAGAAUAUUGGAAAAGGGGCGAAAGCGUGAGACAGCCAUAGCGCGUGGGAGAAGAAUGUCUUCAGGUUAUAAAGCCGUUUUAAGGGGAAAGAAAAGCAGAAGGUGAAAACUCCGCUGUGCUGACGGUACCCACAGAAUAAGCACCGGCUAACUUCGU
rnacentral:rRNA from 1 species